rnacentral:rRNA from 1 species
UACGUAGGGUGCAAGCGUUGUCCGGAAUCAUUGGGCGUAAAGCGCGCGUAGGCGGCCCUGUAAGUCCGUUGUGAAAGUCAAAGGCUCAACCUUUGAAAGCCGAUGGAUACUGCAGGGCUAGAGUCCGGAAGAGGCGAGUGGAAUUCCUGGUGUAGCGGUGAAAUGCGCAGAUAUCGGGAGGAACACCAAUGGCGAAGGCAGCUCGCUGGGACGGUACUGACGCUGAGACGCGAAAGCGUGGGGAGCGAACAGG